rnacentral:rRNA from 1 species
UACAGGGGGUGCAAACGUUGCUCGGAAUCAUUGGGCGUAAAGCGCACGUAGGCGGUUCGUUUAUGUCGGAUGUGAAAGCCCUUUGGCUUUAACCGAGGAAGUGCAUCCGAAACUGGCGAGCUAGAGUACGAAAGAGGAUCGCGGAAUUCCCGGUGUAGAGGUGAAAUUCGUAGAUAUCGGGAGGAACACCGGUGGCGAAGGCGGCGAUCUGGGUCGAUACUGACGCUGAGGUGCGAAAGCGUGGGGAGCAAACAGG